AUUGAACGCUGGCGGCAGGCCUAACACAUGCAAGUCGAACGAGUGGCGGACGGGUGAGUAAUGUCUGGGCAUCUGCCUGCUGGAGGGGGAUAACUACUGGAAACGGUAGCUACUACCGCAUACCAUCAGAUGUGCCCAAAUGGGCUUAGCUUGUUGGGGGGGUAACGGCUCACCAAGGCGACUAUCCCUAGCUGGUCUGAGAGGAUGACCAGCCACACUGGAACUGAGACACGGUCCAGACUCCUACGGGAGGCAGCAGUGGGGAAUAUUGCACAAUGGGCGCAAGCCUGAUGCAGCCAUGCCGCGUGUGUGAAGAAGGCCUUCGGGUUGUAAAGUACUUUCAGCGGGGAGGCGUUAACAGCAGAAGAAGCACCGGCUAACUUCGUGCCAGCAGCCGCGGUAAUUC
rnacentral:rRNA from 1 species